UAGGCUGCAACUCGCCUACAUGAAGUCGGAGUUGCUAGUAAUCGCGGAUCAGAAUGCCGCGGUGAAUGCGUUCCCGGGUCUUGUACACACCGCCCGUCACACUAUGGAAGUUGGGGGCGCCCGAAGUUGCCUAAGAAAUAAGGUACCUAAGGCGAAACCAAUGACUGGGGUGAAGUCGUAACAAGGUAAC
rnacentral:rRNA from 1 species